GAAAGGCUUUCUGUCUAAAGCCUUUCCAUACUGGUGCUCGAUGUUUUCAGUUUGGGGACACCAAAAUUAGUGUACCGCUAAAGACACGUGGUCGACACGUUGUUGACACGUUGUUGACACUUUGUUGACACGUGACCCAAUUACCGGCCUACCAAGUGCCUUUGGCGACCGCUAACAGCAACUGUGGAACAGUGCAGUGCCCUUUUUUGGAGCAACGUACGAGUAGUGCCCGUGGAUUAUGACCCCGCGACCCCAAUCUACGUGGCGGUCCGCAAUUCGCUACUUCAUACUGACUGGCGUCCGGCAUCGUCCCGAAUUUGGCCACAAUCUGCUCUCGGGACCCCUAUAGGGCUCUCUGACCUGCUCCAUCUCCGCCAUCGUCAAUGUACUGCGCAUCCACCCAGGCCAGGACUGCACUUACUUACGGGAAGGAGUAUUUGCGAGAUGGAACCUGGGAACUGGAAGACGACGAAGAGGAAGCGUGGGAAUCCGGCGGCAAUGGCUGGGAUGUAAGUCCAACAUUGCUGGUUCCAGAGUUGCCACUGCUUGCUUAUAAGGGAAUCAUGUGUGUUGCCUUUUUGCCUUUUCCGCUAACAGCAACUGUGGAACAGUGCAGUGCCCUUUUUUGGAGCAACGUACGAGUAGUGCCCGUGGAUUAUGACCCCGCGACCCCAAUCUACGUGGCGGUCCGCAAUUCGCUACUUCAUACUGACUGGCGUCCGGCAUCGUCCCGAAUUUGGCCACAAUCUGCUCUCGGGACCCCUAUAGGGCUCUCUGACCUGCUCCAUCUCCGCCAUCGUCAAUGUACUGCGCAUCCACCCAGGCCAGGACUGCACUUACUUACGGGAAGGAGUAUUUGCGAGAUGGAACCUGGGAACUGGAAGACGACGAAGAGGAAGCGUGGGAAUCCGGCGGCAAUGGCUGGGAUGACUGAACUUACGGUAAGGAGUGCUUCCAAGAUGGGAGACGAAGAAGAAGAAGCCGCUGAAUCCGGCGGCAAUGGCUGGGAUGCUGCGUUCUCGAGAGGAAGCGUUAUUUCUGCAUUCCAAGAAGGACGGCACAAUGUGUCGGACUGUCCGCGUCGCAUUGAACUGGUCCGAUGAGGCUGCUAUUGCACACACAGUGAGGGAACUCCCAUACGGGAACUCGGAAGUACUGCUACAGUACAGGUAUAUCACCCCGUGACGACCACAUCGAAGUCUGAAAUUGAAGUGUGAAGAUGCUUCAGCAACCCCUUCAUAUUUUUCCAUUGCUUUUAUUGUGCUUCUACUGUGCAUGUGUGUAACCUGUGGGGUAUGCAUGUGAUGACAAUGUAUGCCGGUGACACGGUCAGAUUUUGUCCAUGCGUGUAACGUACACCUGCAUGCUAUCGUUGAAAAG